CAACACUUUUUCAUUUUCUUAGAAACACAAAUAUAGUCUUUUUGAGACUUAACCUCACAACUUUUUCCAUUUCAUUAUUACAUCAGAAAACUCUCUUUGCUAUUUCUGUAACCGACCUUCAUCUUCCACCUUUGCUAUUUCUCUAACCGAGCUUCAUAUCCCACCUUCCUCCGUCUUCAACCUCUGCGUUUCCCGAUUUUAACGCUCUGAAUCUACAUGGCUCGAUCGAUGGAGAAAGUUAUGGACAUUAACGACACCAAGAAUCGAUUUAUGGUUUGAUUGUGUUGGCUCACGCGGAAAGGGGGGAGAUGCGCGGAAAAGGAGAUUGUUUCUUCCUUCUCUUUCUGUUUUUGCAGCAAAAUCUGUAGCGGCAUCAACGGGUUACCGACGAUUAGUGUGGUGGUGGUGGUGGAAAUGGGUUUCCGACGACGAGUGUGGUGGUGGUCCGAUUCGAAAAGGUUUAUGUAUGACAUUUUCAAUUUAGGUUUCGUUAUUAACUUUCUUUUGUAGAAAGUGCAGGAUGUGAACUAAUUAUUAUAGAUUUUAUAUUAUUAUUAUAGAUCUCAAAACUCACUCAUUUGGUGAUGGAUUUAUCUUAUGUGUUCGAUCACGGUGGCCGCCAGUGAUUAAUUAGAAAUAAUUUUGGUUUCAACCUUUUUUUUAAUUUGCUCUGUUAAUAUGAUUGCUUUGUUAAUAUGGUGAAGACAUAUUGGUCGACAUAGACGCUUCUGAGAAAAAACCAUAUUGAUACAAUAAUUUUAUUUUUGUCGGUCUUUAUGAUACAAUAUUUCUCAACUUUGAUAGUUCUUUUUGGAAUGGUCAGAGAUGAAUGGUUGGAGCAGCUGUUGCAAAACAAUCUAUCCUCUUGCUGUUUGUUUUUACUUCGUCUACUUCUUCUCUGUUCCAUGUGUAUUUUAGUUGUGCAGGUUGUCGUAAUUGUCGGUGAAAAUGUGUAUAGGGAACGGGUGAUGGAAACGUUUGAGAAGGAUCUUCAUUUACCGGUUGUUUGUGUUGAUGCUGUAAAUUCAACCGGUUGUUUGGCAUGCAGUAGCUUCUUUGUCUGGAUAUUGGACAAUCAAGACAGCAGGCUAUUAGGAAUAAAGUUAAGUCGACUCCAGAUAAACAAGAAGCGCCAAGUAUUAGAGAGGGUUCCUCGUGCUGAUUUGGUUUGAAUCGUGUCUCUAUUGGAGUACUGGAAGGGGAAGGGUGGAUUGUUCAGUAAUAAAUCACCUUUGGCUUUGAGAAAUGAUUCUGAUUAUCUUCAAUGGUUGUAUCUGCAUCAACAAGCCUGUUCAAGAUUUUUCUAAAGUACAUAACCUUCAUAAUUCUUCUGAAGUGGUUUUGGGAAGAAUGUUAGUGUUGGUUCUGUGACUGUUCCACCUUCUGCAAUUCUAGUUGCAGCAAUGCCAGUUUCUGCUCCUGUUCUUGCACCAAGAGAGUUUCUUCACCAAAUUUGUCCACAACUGUUACAUGGUAGGAAGUAACUCUAAUCUAUUUAUACUUUAUAAUGAAAAUGCUCAGAUGGUAUCAGUACUAUCAUGUCAUACUAAUACUAUUGUACUGUUUUGUCACAAUGUUUACAUAUAAUUUAAAAACGAUCUCCUAUUUUUGUAACUGUUAGUUUGAUUUUGUGUAUGUGUGAAGGUGCAUAUGUAAAGUUAUAUAGAGUUGUUAGCUUAGGUUUUUUUGGUGCUCGAUUUGUUAUGUGUUUGCUGGCAGCAAGCUUUGUGUUUUGGUUUGUAUGGCGCAGGUUCGGCUUAUGAAGCUGGUGCACCUGUUAUUGCGGUUCCUGAUUCGGUCGAGAGUGAUGGGAAUUCAUUGUGUUUUUCAUUGUUUCAUUGUUAACCUUUCUUUUUCUUCAUUGUGUUUUUCAUUGUUUCAUUGUUAUGCUUUUUUGUUUAAUGUAAUUUUGCAUGUGUAUUUCUGAAGGUUUGGCUUUAAUGGGUUUGUUGUGGUUUAUUUAUUCUUCUAAUAAAGCUGCUGCAAAUGAAAGGAUGUGUUGUGAGUUGAAGCGGUUAAAGCCAGCGUUGUCUCCUUCUCUAUCUCCAGUUUUGACACGCGAUUCCCAACCAGGGAACCACACCAUGAAUCACUUAACUGUUGGCACUGAAGAUUCUUUUGUGAGCUUACUUAAGCUUGCUGCUAAUAAUGAUGUUGAAGGAUUUCAUUACACUUUUUAACUGUGCGUCUCUCAUUACUUAGGACUUGGAAGAAACAGCCGCAAUAAACUCAAUGACUCACUCCGCGAACCACUAUAAGUUCACUCACUGUAACAGGCGAGUCUUCUGGUUCCCGUCAUCGCACCGCCGUAACCUCAAGAAGAUGUUUGACAAAUUGUACCAGUCACGACGGAUAGGAAAACUGUUGAUUUAGAUCAAGGUUGGGCCUAUAUGCAGAAUGGGAUUACAAAAUUGAAGAGAAUUUUGGAAGGAUCACUAGAAAAUUUCACUUCAGUGGAAUGCAUAAUGUUGUACAUAAGUCACCACUUGACAAUUCACAUGAACUGUAUGACAGAUACAAGAAUGUUUUUGAGCAAUACAUUACAUCAACUAGAUAAGCAUGACGAAUUCAUGUUGAGGGACAGAGAUUUGGUCAGUCUUUUAUUGUUUAGAUCCACUUUGAGUGUAUCUUUAUCGAUACCGAGCAGCAGUUUUGAUGGACAACCAUAAGGAACAGGAAUCAGUAGCUGAGCUAUCACACACAAUUGCAUUUAAAGUUGAUUUGCACCUCUUACAUCUCCGUGCAUCAUUCCAUGAACACAAAGGAGAUGUCCUAAGUGCGUUAAGAGACUGUUGUGUUACACUGUCAAUGGAUCCAAACUUCCAAUAAAUGUUGGAACUUCACACCCGUGUUAACAGCCACGAAUCGUGAGUUGAGUUCAGGAAGUAAGAACAGCGUUUGUACAAUCAUCAGCCGUCAUGAAAACUAAAUUUGUAAAUGCAAAGUAUAGUUGAAAUGAAUGAUUAGAGCCACUUGUAGACUGUGUUGUAAUGAUCAUGUGAUGAUAUAAUUUUCCUUUCUAAAGAGGGGAUGCCUAAAUUUUGUAAUUUAUAUACUUGCUAUCUUUUGAAAAUGUGUUAUGAAUACCAGAUACAUGUACCUUAUUACU